rnacentral:rRNA from 1 species
UGGGGAAUCUUGCACAAUGGGCGCAAGCCUGAUGCAGCCAUGCCGCGUGAGUGAAGAAGGCCCUAGGGUUGUAAAACUCUUUCAGCGGGGAAGAUAAUGACGGUACCCGCAGAAGAAGCCCCGGCUAACUCCGUGCCAGCAGCCGCGGUAAUACGGAGGGGGCUAGCGAUGUUCGGAAUUACUGGGCGUAAAGCGCGCGUACGCGGAUUGGUCAGUCAGAGGUGAAAUCCCGAAGCUCAACUUCGGAACUGCCUUUGAUACUGCCGAUCUAGAGUCCGGGAGAGGUGAGUGGAAUUCCUAGUGUAGAGGUGAAUUCGUAGAUAUUAGGAAGAACACCAGUGGCGAAGGCGGCUCACUGGCCCGGUACUGACGCUGAGGUGCGAAAGCGUGGGGAGCAAACAGGAUUAGAUACCCGUGUAGUCC